CGAUAGCACUUCGAAGCUCACAUCACAGUUGAAUUUUUUCCCAUAAUCGGAAAGUUAGGCACAUAUUAAUUCAUCAUAUCAAGAAAUGUAUGAAAUUCAUAAAUGUCAAAUAUCAUCUAUCGGAAAGUCUCAUUUCAAAUAAAAAAAGCUACUUCAGGGAUUAAAUUACAUGCAAACUCACAGAAUGAGAAACAUCCUUAGUCUU